rnacentral:rRNA from 1 species
CCUACGGGAGGCAGCAGUGGGGAAUAUUGGGCAAUGGGCGCAAGCCUGACCCAGCAACGCCGCGUGAAGGAAGAAGGUGCUCGGGUUGUAAACUUCUUUUAUCAGGGACGAAACAAAUGACGCGAGCUGAUGAAUAAGCCACGGCUAACUACGUGCCAGCGGCCGCGGUAAUACGGAGGUGGCAAGCGUUCUCCGGAUUUACUGGGUGUAAAGGGUGUGUAGGCGGGAGAGAAAGGCAGACGUGAAAGUCCCGGGCUCAACCCUGGAACUGCGGUUGAAACUGUUCGUCUUGAGGGGUGGAGAGGCAGGCGGAAUUCGGUGUGUAGCGGUGAAAUGCGUAGAUAUACGGAGGAACACCAGUGGCGAAGGCGGCAUGCUGGACAUUAACUGACGCUGAGGCGCGAAAGCGUGGGGAGCAAACAGGAUUAGAUACCCUAGUAGUC